rnacentral:lncRNA from 1 species
ACUUAUUUCUACAGCCAUUAUUAUAGGAGCAGUUAAAGAGUAACUUCCUCUCUUAAAAAGGUUGAUUUGCUUUGCUCAAGGAGUGGUUCUGCUGAGAAGUGUUUAAGACAAACUUUACUUAAUGGGCAGCUACCAGAGCACCGUGACAGAAGCUAUUAUAUGGAAAUAUUAACAAAUAUGAAUUGCAAGCUUUCUGGUCCACAGUGGAGCUGAGUGGAAAGUGAAAUCAUCUGUUGCUGGUGCUGGGCCCCCAC